GACGAACGCUGGCGGCGUGCUUAACACAUGCAAGUCGAACGCUGAAGCUUGGUACUUGCACUGGGUGGAUGAGUGGCGAACGGGUGAGUAAUACGUGAGUAACCUGCCCUUGACUCUGGGAUAAGCCUGGGAAACUGGGUCUAAUACUGGAUACGACAUGUCACCGCAUGGUGGCGUGUGGAAAGGGUUUUACUGGUUUUGGAUGGGCUCACGGCCUGUCAGCUUGUUGGGGGGGUAAUGGCUCACCAAGGCGACGAGGGGUAGCCGGCCUGAGAGGGUGACCGGCCACACGGGGACUGAGACACGGCCCAGACUCCUACGGGAGGCAGCAGUGGGGAAUAUUGCACAAUGGGCGAAAGCCUGAUGCAGCGACGCCGCGUGAGGGAUGACGGCCUUCGGGUUGUAAACCUCUUUCAGCACGGAAGAAGCGAAAGUGACGGUACGUGCAGAAGAAGCGCCGGCUAACUACG
rnacentral:rRNA from 1 species